UCGCCCUCUCACCUACGCACGUCCCCAGUCAACCAACCCCCGCACGCACGCUCCUCCACUCCCCCGUCGGUCCAAUCGCCCACCACCGCCCGCUCCGCUUGGCCUCCGCCGCUGCCGCCGCACAACUCGGCCUCCGUCGCCGCCGAUCCUCCGCCCGCUGCUCCACUCCUCUCACGCGGUGCCGUCCCUCGGUCCUCCCCGGCCUCCUCGCACGCGGCACCUCCAGCACGCCGCUCCCUGCCACCCUCCUCGCACGCGGCGCCGCCCCUCGUGAUCGGACUUUCCAGCCAGCACGACCCUGCCGCACCUCACUGCCGGAGUUGCAGUUCGGUUGCCUUGCACCGCCCUGCCUCAUCUCCCACGCCGUGUCUGCCAGGAGUAUGAAGCGACCGCGGCAGGCCUACGAACUGGAGCAAUGUGAAGGUUUGUCACCCAGAGUAAUCCGAAGGAGAUUCACAAAGAGAGACACGCUGCCGCACGUCUGUCCUCCGGCCAGCACUAGCUCUUUUUAUUUGUACGCAGUUUUCUCCCAAUCGCUGAUUGCAUUGAUGCAUUGGAAACCAACUGGCCAUGUACUCGCGACGGUGACAAUAUGGCUAGGCACAGGGCGCCGCGCAGAACAACAUCGGCAGGCCAGCAACAGGGAGCACCGGCGCAAUGCGGCACUGACGAGCAAGAUUCCGUAUGCAGUCUAUGGUAAUUGGAACUGGUCAAUCAGCAGUUCGUCGGGUGCUAGCUUUGCCUCUUUCUUUACAUAUAAUUUGGAAUUUGGAUUGUGGCAUAUACUCAUUACAGAUCAAGAAACAUGCGAUUCAGUUUUAUAUGUGGCAAUGUCAAGUGUUGGCAAGUCAUUUUCUGCAAUACAUUUCUGAAACAUCAACUGUUGGAAGGUCAUUUUCUGCAAUACAUUUUCUGAAGCAUAAAAAUCUUUUCUCUAAGAUAGAAGAUGACAUUAUAAUUGAGAUUUUCAUAGUAAUAUUCAUACAUGUGAAUUUCAGACGUAACCUAAUUCUAUUGCUUUUCUGGUAAAUCAUAUGUACAUUGGCAUGUUACAUUUGUGGUUUUCAAAAAUCUGAUUGCCUCACCUUAGUGUAAAAUAUUAGCUAGAUACACCAUUGACAACUGAGAAAAAAGAAAAGAGACACCGCUGCACCUCCGCCCGCCGCUCUUGACGCAUUUCCCACUCUGCCACCGCUCUUGACGUGGUAUCUGCUCUGCACCACUCCUGGUGGCCACGGUGUCUCUCUCGGCCGCCCAGCCCUACCUCUGUUGUCGUCGCCCUUGAUGCAGUGUCCAUCCCACUCUACCUCGAUUGUCACUGCCCUGCCCUCCAUUGUAUUAUUUUUGAUUCUCUAUGAGGUAGCCCUUUUUUCACGUGAAGGUGAGCUGAUUCGGCUCUAUCAAGAUCAAUCUGUUUAUAACCUAUUUAUUAAAUUUGCAGUUUAUGCCUGCUAGGUCAUUUAAGGAGAGUGAUGUACAUGCAGAUAAUACAAGGGUGCAUUUCUCUUACUGUCAAGCAGAAGGUGCUGGCAAUUUUAAUUUUGCUAUGAAGAUGUAGAAUUGACUUUUGUAGAAUAAAACAAGGUUCCAGAGAUUUAGGUGGAAUUUUAUUCACCGAACAAAUCUUCCUUUUGGCGAUUGAAGACAAGGAGUGUGAGAUUUCGUCAUCAAAAUAGUCUUCUGCGGAGAAAUGGCACAAUCAUCUCAUGUCAUUUCGUGGGAGUAACACAACUGCACAAGUAGCAUAGAUGCAGCGAGGCCACUCUAUGACGGAGUGGAGCGGAACACUUGAUCGGUUCAAUAUGAUAGCAUGGUGUAACUCAUGUCCAUGGUAGGUAAACCUUCUGAUUGCAUGGUUUUCUUCAAGUGAACCACUAGAUAACAUUUGAUGAUUUCAACCUUGAACCGGUGGGUUUCUACGGAACUAUGUAUGAUUUAAACAAUGGCUGAAAAUAUUAAUCUGAGUUUGUUUCAAACAAAUAAAUUUGUAUUGGAAGACAAUUUCAUACUAUCAAUGUGGAUAUUGAAGGA